rnacentral:rRNA from 1 species
GACGAACGCUGGCGGCGUGCUUAACACAUGCAAGUCGAGCGGAGCGGCGAACGGGUGAGUAAAGCGUGAGUAACUGCCCCCCUCUCUGGGAUAACAGUUGGAAACGGCUGAUAAUACCGGAUAGUGGGGGAUGACUCGCGUCCUAUCAGCUUGUGGGUGGGGUAGUGGCCUACCAAGGCGACGACGGGUAGCCGGACUGAGAGGGCGACCGGCCCCAUUGGGCUCAUGUACUGCCCAAACGCCUCCGGGAGGCAGCAGUGGGGAAUAUUGCACCAUGGGGGAAACCCUGAGGCAGCAACGCGCGUGCGGGUUGUCGGCCUUCGGGUUGUAACCCGCUUUCAGCCAUGACGCGGUAGUGGCAGAAGAAUCACCGGCUAACUACGUGCCAGCAGCCGCGGUAAUAC